UAGGGAAUAUUGCGCAAUGGGCGAAAGCCUGACGCAGCCACGCCGCGUGGGGGAUGAAGGCCUUCGGGUCGUAAACCCCUUUUCUGAGGGAAGAACAAGCCGGGGAGGUAAUGCCCCGGCCCUGACGGUACCUCAGGAAUAAGCAACGGCUAACUCCGUGCCAGCAGCCGCGGUAAUACGGAGGUUGCGAGCGUUGUUCGGAAUUACUGGGCGUAAAGGGGGCGCAGGCGGCCAGGCAAGUGGAAAGUGGAAUCCCGGGGCUCAACCUCGGACGUGCUUUCCAAACUGCCUGGCUUGAGUCCGGGAGAGGAAGAUGGAAUUCCAGGUGUAGCGGUGAAAUGCGUAGAUAUCUGGAGGAACACCGAUGGCGAAAGCAAUCUUCUGGCCCGGUACUGACGCUCAGGCCCGAAAGCGUGGGGAGCGAACA
rnacentral:rRNA from 1 species